GACGAACGCUGGCGGCGUGCUUAACACAUGCAAGUCGAGCGGAAAGGCCUGCUUUCCCUUGUGGAUUGCGGGUACUCGAGUGGCGAACGGGUGAGUAACACGUGAGUGAUCUGCCCCCAACUUGGGUAUAAGCCUGGGAAACUGGGUCUAAUUCCCGAUAGGACUGCAGGGUGGUGCCUGUGGUGGAAAACGAUUUUCUAGUGGUUGGGGAUGAGCUCGCGGCCUAUCAGCUUGUUGGUGGGGUAAUGGCCUACCAAGGCGGCGACGGGUAGCCGGCCUGAGAGGGUGGACGGCCACAUUGGGACUGAGAUACGGCCCAGACUCCUACGGGAGGCAGCAGUGGGGAAUAGUGCACAAUGGGCGGAAGCCUGAUGCAGCGACGCCGCGUGGGGGAUGACGGCCUUCGGGUGGUAAACUCCUUUCGACCGCGAGGAAGCCACCUGGUUGGAAGGGUGGUGACGGUAGUGGUAGAAGAAGCACCGGCUAACUACGUG
rnacentral:rRNA from 1 species